rnacentral:rRNA from 1 species
AGUCUGGUGCCAGCAGCCGCGGUAAUUCCAGCUCUAAUAGCGUAUAUUAAAGUUGUUGCAGUUAAAAAGCUCGUAGUCGGAUGUCGGGCUCGGGCAGGCUGUCGGCUUCGGUCGGACGGCAGGCUCGGGUCUUUCUGCCUGAGGAUCCCGUGCACUUUAUUGUGGGCGGGGGACGCAGGCCGUUUACUUUGAAAAAAUUAGAGUGUUCAAAGCAGGCCUACGCUUGAAUACAUUAGCAUGGAAUAAUGGAAUAGGACUUUGGUGCUAUUUUGUUGGUUUAUGGGACCGAAGUAAUGAUUAACAGGGACAGUUGGGGCCGUUUAUAUUUCGUUGUCAGAGGUGAAAUUCUUGGAUUUACGAAAGAUAAACUUCUGCGAAAGCAUUCGGCAAGGAUGUUUUCAUUGAUCAAGAACGAAAGUUAGGGGAUCGAAGACGAUCAGAUACCGUCGUAGUCUUAACCAUAAACUAUGCCGACUAGGGAUCAGUGGAUGUCAAUUUGCGACUCCAUUGGCACCUUGUGAGAAAUCAAAGUUUUUGGGUUCCGGGGGGAGUAUGGUCGCAAGGCUGAAACUUAAAGGAAUUGACGGAAGGGCACCACCAGGAGUGGAGCCUGCGGCUUAAUUUGACUCAACACGGGGAAACUUACCAGGUCCAGACAUAGUAAGGAUUGACAGAUUGAAAGCUCUUUCUUGAUUCUAUGGGUGGUGGUGCAUGGCCGUUCUU